GAUGUUAGCGGCGGACGGGUGAGUAACACGUGGGUAACCUGCCUGUAAGACUGGGAUAACUCCGGGAAACCGGGGCUAAUACCGGAUGCUUGUUUGAACCGCAUGGUUCAAACAUAAAAGGUGGCUUCGGCUACCACUUACAGAUGGACCCGCGGCGCAUUAGCUAGUUGGUGAGGUAAUGGCUCACCAAGGCGACGAUGCGUAGCCGACCUGAGAGGGUGAUCGGCCACACUGGGACUGAGACACGGCCCAGACUCCUACGGGAGGCAGCAGUAGGGAAUCUUCCACAAUGGGCGAAAGUCUGACGGAGCAACGCCGCGUGAGUGAUGAAGGUUUUCGGAUCGUAAAGCUCUGUUGUUAGGGAAGAACAAGUACCGUUCGAAUAGGGCGGUACCUUGACGGUACCUAACCAGAAAGCCACGGCUAACUACGUGCCAGCAGCCGCGGUAAUACGUAGGUGGCAAGCGUUGUCCGGAAUUAUUGGGCGUAAAGGGCUCGCAGGCGGUUUCUUAAGUCUGAUGUGAAAGCCCCCGGCUCAACCGGGGAGGGUCAUUGGAAACUGGGGAACUUGAGUGCAGAAGAGGAGAGUGGAAUUCCACGUGUAGCGGUGAAAUGCGUAGAGAUGUGGAGGAACACCAGUGGCGAAGGCGACUCUCUGGUCUGUAACUGACGCUGAGGAGCGAAAGCGUGGGGAGCGAACAGGAUUAGAUACCCUGGUAGUCCACGCCGUAAACGAUGAGUGCUAAGUGUUAGGGGGUUUCCGCCCCUUAGUGCUGCA
rnacentral:rRNA from 1 species